rnacentral:ncRNA from 1 species
ACCAAGGAGUGCAGUGGGCCAGCAAGUAUUCUGUACACACUACACGAUGCGCAGCGAAGGCUAUGCAGCUGGCGCACUGCGACCCGAUAGAUAGUGAACUAUGCCUGGUCUAGAUGAAGUCCGGGGAAACUCUGAUGGAAGUCUUAAGCCGUUCUGACGUUCAAUUCGAUGGCAUGAACUGGGUAUAGGGGCGAAAGACCAAUCGAACUAUCUGGUAGCUGGUUCCUUCCGAAAUGUCUCUCAGGACAGCGCCUGGAUGUAUGUAACCUUGUGUAGAGUAUGAACUUCAUUGUUCUGAAACUGCGAAGCAGGGAGUGGCGUUGCUUUGAUGAACGCGUGGAUAAUAGACUGGGUAGUGGGCUGAUGCUAGUAAGUAGCGUUGGCGAAGAGGGAUGAACCUGUUGGCGAGAUAAGAUCUCCAAGCAAAAGGCAGUGAAACCAGUAAAGAGGCAGAUGAAUCUAGACAGUGGGGCGGUGGCCAUAGAAGUUGGAAUCCGCUAAGAAACGUGUUACAACGUACCUACCGAAUUCAACUGUUCUGAAAAUGGACGAGGCUAUACUUUUGCAUCGAUUCUCGUCACGCUUUUUGCGUAGUAGGAAGGCAUGGAGGGUGUGCAGAAGCACGCGGGCGACUGUGUGUGGAACAGCCUCCAGAGCAGAUCUUGGUGGUAGUAGCGACAAUUUCAGAAUGAAACACCGAAGAGGAGAAGGGUU